CCGUUUGGUCACUCUGCCUUUAAAGAUAAAAUUUACUUCUUAAUUCUGCUUAGCUAUUUAAAAAUGGGUGAUUGGGCUAAAAAAGCUGAGGACCAGGAGGUUUCUAAGCUGGUCGACAAACUUAACCUAGACUCUAAAUCUGGCGAAGAAACCGAUUUCGAUGUCGCUGAUCCAGCUGAAACAAGUCUCCUCAUAAAAAUACUAGGAAAGGGGCUGGUGAACACAAAGUUAUCUCUCGACAUUCAACAAAAAAAUCCGAAUUCACCCUUACAUUCCGUAAAAACAUUUGAAGCUUUACACCUAAAAGCAUCUCUGUUAAAAGGAAUUUACGCAAUGGGGUUUAAUACUCCAUCAAAAAUUCAAGAAACAGCGUUGCCAACUCUUCUUGCAGAUCCACCACAAAAUAUGAUAGCACAAAGCCAGUCUGGGACAGGCAAAACAGCGGCAUUUGUAUUGGCCAUGCUUAGCCGAGUCAACGUUGGUUUAAAUCAUCCUCAGGUUCUGUGUUUAUCCCCUACGUACGAGUUGGCAAUUCAAACUGGAGAAGUGGCUGCGCGAAUGGGACAAUUUUGCCGGGAAAUAAAGCUAAGAUUUGCGGUCCGUGGAGAAGAGGUUGACCGCAGUAAAAAAAUUGAAGAACACAUUUUGAUUGGUACCCCAGGAAAACUUUUGGAUUGGGGAAUAAAAUUUCGUUUAUUUGAUAUGAAGAAAAUAACCGUUUUUGUAUUGGAUGAAGCAGAUGUAAUGAUAGCCACCCAAGGUCAUCAUGAUCAAUGCAUUCGAAUACACAAAAUGCUGAAUCCACAUUGUCAAAUGUUGUUUUUCUCUGCUACUUAUGGUAAAGAGGUUAUGGACUUUGCUCGGCUGAUUGUUGCAGAUCCCACAAUAAUAAGACACGAAGAACUGCUGCUUGGCUUGCAGCAAAAAUGACGUCGGAUGGUCAUUCUGUUGCUGUUCUUACCGGGGAUUUAACAGUUGUGCAAAGACUUGAUGUCUUAGAUCGUUUCCGUUCAGGACUUGAAAAGGUGCUUAUCACUACAAAUAUUUUAUCAAGAGGCAUUGAUAUUGAACAAGUUACAAUUGUAGUCAAUUUCGAUUUGCCCGUAGACGUUGAUGGAAAGGCUGACUGUGAAACUUAUUUACAUCGGAUAGGACGGACUGGAAGGUUUGGAAAGUCUGGAAUCGCCAUAAAUCUUAUAACAGAUGAGAAGACCAUGAAAGUGUGUUCCGAUAUCGAAAAACAUUUCAA
rnacentral:misc_RNA from 1 species